rnacentral:rRNA from 1 species
UACGGGGGGGGCAAGCGUUGUUCGGAAUUACUGGGCGUAAAGGGCUCGUAGGCGGCCAACUAAGUCAGACGUGAAAUCCCUCGGCUUAACCGGGGAACUGCGUCUGAUACUGGAUGGCUUGAGAUUGGGAGAGGGAUGCGGAAUUCCAGGUGUAGCGGUGAAAUGCGUAGAUAUCUGGAGGAACACCGGUGGCGAAGGCGGCAUCCUGGACCAACACUGACGCUGAUGAGCGGAAGCCAGGGGAGCAAACGGG